AAUAAUUAUCUCAAUAAAUAUAAAAUAACUAAACCAAAUGCUUCAAUUUUGCAAGUCAAUGAUGGUCGAAUGAAAAUUGAACCUUCCGAGUUUAGGAUGAAAAAUAUCAUUUUCUCGCUAAUCACUUUCUUUCUUCUUUUUGUCUGUGGUGCCAUUUUGAGAGGUUGUAAAUUUACCAACACAAGUAAAGAGACAUUAGCCCUCUUGGAAUGUGAAGCAAUUUUGUGGAAGGUCUAAUCGCCAUCGUCACAAAAGUGGUUUGGGAUAAAGUGGUUUUCUCAACGAGGUGGGGUCUUCUCUUCACCCUCUAAAAUUAGGGUUUUGAUUGAGGAUCUGCUCAUGUUCUUCUCGUUUUGGCAUCCUCCCAAAGCUGCUUAUUAAGUUUUGGAAGCAAAACAAUACCAAUUAUCCUCAUCAUCUUGGGGUAUGAGAAGGUAAUUAUUAUCAUUUCAUUGACUGAUUUUUGUUUUUUAAUACCAAAGUUUAGUUACCUUUUGUGUUGAAACCCAAAUUAGUGUUAAAACUACACUUUGCUUAGUCCAAAAAAAGUAUGUAUAAAGCCUAACUUUGAGUUACAUCUCGAUGUCUCUUAUUCACAUUUCCUCCCCAUAACAAAUAUAUUUGAUUUAGAGUAACUUCGAUGUAUAUAUGUUUGACUAACAUGUACGAGAGCGAGGACUUAAAAAUUAAAUCGUGAAGAAAUGAUGUCUUAGUCAAGUAGAAAACGACGGUCGUGUGAAUUUAAUAGAUUAUAUAGAAAAUUUGUAUACAAAACAAUAAAGCAAGUGAAAAGGGAGAAGGAAAAAGGUCAUACCACGAGAAUGCACGUAGAUGAUUUACUUUAACGGUCACCACACAAUUUUCUCCGCACAAAGACAUGAUGUAACAAUUACAUUAAGGUAAUACAAGAUGCAUUCAUCUCCGUGCAUCCCUUAGCACCGCUCACAUGAACCCUAAACUUGAUUAGAUAACGAGCAUCCAUCCAAUGUAAUAUUUAUAAUUAAAUUAAUUUAAAUUUGUUGUUUGAUUAUUUCUUUAAAAAUAUAAUUAGGCAUUGAAAAAAAAAGGUGCCAACUAUUAAAUGUUUAUUUAAAAAGAAAAAGGAGUAAUGAGUAAAUGCGUAAGGAAGUUGCGUAAUGGGAAUGAGAUGCCCUUAAGGAAUAAAACUCUCUCUCAUUUCUAUGAAAUUAACAUGUUUUAAAUUCCUUUAUGUUUCCAUCUCACCGAUUUCCAAAAUAUUUUUCAAUCCUUUUCUUACUUUGUCUACAAACCAUCCAUCAACUCAACUAUUCUUCUGUUUCUUGUUUCAAAAUUUUAUGAACCAAACAUUUAUUUCUAUUUAUUUGAGCUUCCGAGGAAGCAUUUCGAUUAAGAAAUUCGUUCACGCUAUAGAUACACUACACCUAUUUGGUUUCUAGUUUAAUUAAUUUCAUUGGUAUCAUGUAUGUUUUUUCAUGUCAAAACUUGAAUAAAUAGAUGUGAUAUUCUAAAUUUGUAAUUUGAUGUACAGAGAACAUAGACAAAUAACUAUGAUACCAAAGUCAAAUAGGAAGACUAAGUAGUGAAUUUUCUAAUCUUGUUCUUUGUUCUAGUUGAAAUUAAUUCAUAUAAAGUAGUUAUAAUAAUUUGGUGUCAUCAAUUGGAUGAGAUGAUUUUAAUUUUCUUAUUGGGAUGAGAUAGAAGUGUACGUAAGUCGGGUUAGAGGAAGAUUAUGGACCAAACUAAAGAAUCUAGAUUGACAAAAAAAAAAAAAAAACUUGUUGGUUCAAUAUAUAGAAUCAAUCCAACCCAACCUAACCUAACCAAAAAUAUCUGGAUUGGGUUGGCGGGUUGAAAUUGUUGGUUCAAUACAUUGAAUCAAUCCAACCCAACCUAACCUAACCAAAAAUAUUUGGAUUGGGUUGGCGGGUUGAUUUUUUCUUUCUUUCAUAAUUUAAACAAAUUUUAAUACUGCUUUUCAAUAUACAAGAUGAACAAAUUGUCAUUCCAAUGCAAAGGGCAAAGUUGUGAGACACACGUAUAUGUUAUAUAUUCAAAUCUAAAACCUAAAGCCUAAGAGUUAUAUAUUAAUUGGACCAAGUCAAUAUAACCCUUACUUACACAAACUGACUAUUUGGCUUUAACUUUUUUUUUUUCAAUUUUCUAAUUCAAUCCAACAUAAUACAAAAUUUAACCAACACAACCGGUAACUCGGAUUAACAGUUCUUUUAAACACCUCUAGAAUGAGAUAUCUUGAUUAUAGGUUGGCACUUGAUUUGAACCAAAACCCACCCACUCUAUAUAGUCCUAUUUUCCUCAUUUUUGGCUUAUUUGUUAGGUUCAAUGUCACCUACUAACAUAUCUAAAAUAAACAUCCAUUAAAAUACUUAUUUAUUCAUCUAUUUCCAUGGGUAUCAAAGCUAGCUUAUUAGAAACUCAACUCAACUUGGACUAUUGCCCGAUACUAAGAAAAACUCCUACGACACUAAAUCCUAACAUGGCCAACAAAGAUUGAACAUAUUCCUUCUAAGUUCUUUAUUAAAUUUAUGAUUGUUUUUACCAAACCAUUAUAGUUAAAGAACCUUCUAAUACCUAACGAAACAGAGAUAAAAACAAAUUAGUCAAGAACGUAUGACCUUUCAAUGAACACUAGACUAAGAAAAAAACUAUUUUUAAAUAUCACAAAAAUGAACCAAAAUAUUUAUACAUAUAACAAAAUCUUGGACACUGAUGGAUUCUAGUAGAAGUCUAUUUCUCUAAUCGAUAUCUAUUAAGUUGGGAAAUUUUUUUUUGGUAGUUUUAUCAUUUAAAUAAUUUUCUUCAAAAAAUAAAAUAAAAAAACUCAAAACCCCAAAACUUUAUAUUGAAUAAUAUCAUAAGAAGAAAAGAAACAUUUCAAAUCCAAUUGAGAAGGCUGAAAGGAUCAAAUGUUUUCUUAAACUAUAAUUUUCAUUGGCUAUUAUUUGGUGAAGGAAAUCGAAAAGGUACGAUAAUGUCUAUUUUUAGAUAAAGACCCAAUAGCCAAUAAUGGAUGAGAAAUUCUAAGGAGGAAAAGUGUUCUAAAAAAAUCAUUAAUAUCUUGACCCAAAAUAUAAUAGACUUAAUAAGCUCCCCUUAAAAAUAAUAAUAAAAAAAAAACAAGAAAAAUAGAGGAAGAUAUUCUAUAGAUAUAGGAUGAUGUAUCAAUGUAUCAUAUCAUAUCAUAUCAUAUUGGAAGAUUUUGGGAAGUGGAGAGAGUAUGAAAUAUCAAGAUCAGGCACAGUUACAAGAAGGAUUAUUUUGAAACAAAUGAUAAAAACUACAUAAGAGGAAAAUAUUUUAAAAACCUACAAUACUCUCUAGUCUACUAUUACAUCAGGCUAUUUUAAGAUUUAAGAACAACAACCCAAAAAUGCAAAAAUGAAAUAGCUGUUUUUCCUUUUAAUAGUAUUUUCUUCCAUGGAAAUUAUAAUAAACUACCAGAUUUUCCCAGGAAAUAGAGCUAAUAACAAAGUAAAUGAACUCAUGGCUAUUUAUGAUACCAAAAAGUAGAACCUGUAAUUCCAAUUUAUGCUGUUUUAUCUUCUUCUAAAUCACCAGCUGGAUUGUCGCUUCCAUGCAGUGGUUUAAUGUCUGGUACGCUCCGAGCGUCCUUUGAAGGCGAGGAAAUUGGAGAUGGUCUUAUGAGUGUUAAAUUUGUAUCAUCCUUGUCGAACUCUUCAUGUGCGUCUUCGGAGUAUGCAUACCUGAGGUA
rnacentral:lncRNA from 1 species